AGGAAAUAUUCCGCGGAAAGGUUAAUUUCAGCCAUGUCUCCGUGUCUUCCAAAGACUAACAGUGUUUUCACUCGAGAAAUGCCAGCAAUUGAAGACCAUUUCCCUUUAGCUACCUAUUUGCCACCCUUGGUCAAAUGGGUGUAAUUUGAAGUGUAGGUGCAUACAUAGUAUACCCCCCAAAAAAAAGAAAAUAAAAGACUGCAGCAUGAAACGUGCAAAGGGAAACCAAAAUUUGCUUUUGACUUAAGAGUAGAAGAAAUGUAACCACAGGGUUUUGGAAGAGUGAACUGAAGCAAACUUAAAUUAAGCAUGUAUACUGGGACUUGCCUGGCAUGAAGACAAAAUAGAAGUUUUCAAGUUCAAGGAGUAUUUCUUAGUAAACACAUUCUUGCUGCAAAACAGAUUGGAGUGCUGUUAGUGUGUUAUUUAUACAGAAGUGAAGACUGAUGAAGAGGGACAUGGGAGAGGUCAUGCAAAAUAUGUAAGAGAGAAGUUUCAAGAUGAGUAUUAAAAGAUUAAACACUGUUGGAUACUUGAAGGCGAUAAUGCAACCAUUAGUUUGAUGUUGGUUAGUACACAUUAGGGAGCCAUUACAGACUGUCUGCUGUGUGCCAAGUGGAAAGAGGGAUCAUUGGCUUCUCGAACAGGACUUACUAUUUACCUUGAUUUUCAAGUGUAAGGAUGGUUAAGUUUCAGAUUAAACUUUUCCCGGUGCUUGAAGGAAAUACUAAUACAGUAUAACCACAUGGUCAGUGAUACUUGGUACACAUUGAGGAGGAAAAAUGUCUUCUGUGCAUAUCAAGUGGAAAGUGGCUUCACAAACAGGAAUUAUUAUGCACCUUGAUUUUCAAGCAUUGGGAGGAUUCCUAAUUUUGAAAAUAGUUCUUUAGAAGUGUUUAUGCCAGACCCUGAUCAUAGCUGCAGCCCAGUGGGAGAAGUCCUGCUUCAACUUGAAAAGUAUUUCAACAGAAGUCAUAUUGCAAAGGAUGAAAAAGCAAAGGAUGAAAAACAAAAUUGGCAAAUUGACCCCUUCCAGGCAUUCAUUGAAUUAACACUUUUUGAAGACCGCAGCCCCUUUAAAAAACUUUACCUUCCCUCGAUAUUCUAUUAAAAUCACCCUAUUAAGAAUCCUUUUAAAUAUUGCCCUUAAAAUAAAGCAGUAA